AACCUACCCGUUCGAGUGGGGAGUGAACUAGCCGAAAGGUUAGCUAAUACCUGAUACGAUCGUUGAGCGGCAUCGCCCGACGAUGAAAGCAGCAAUGCGCGGUUAGAGGGGGCUGCGGCCCAUUAGCUAGUUGGUGAGGUAAUGGCCCACCAAGGCAACGAUGGGUAGCUGGUCUGAGAGGACGACCAGCCACACUGGGACUGAGAAACGGCCCAG
rnacentral:rRNA from 1 species